GACGAACGCUGGCGGCGUGCUUAACACAUGCAAGUCGAACGGAGAAGCUCCAGCUUGCUGGAGUGGAUCAGUGGCGAACGGGUGAGUAACACGUGAGCAACCUGCCCCUGACUCUGGAAUAAGCGCUGGAAACGGCGUCUAAUACUGGAUACGAGAAGGGUCCGCAUGGGCACUUUCUGUAAAGUUUUUCGGUUGGGGAUGGGCUCGCGGCCUAUCAGCUUGUUGGUGAGGUAAUGGCUCACCAAGGCGACGACGGGUAGCCGGCCUGAGAGGGCGACCGGCCACACUGGGACUGAGACACGGCCCAGACUCCUACGGGAGGCAGCAGUGGGGAAUAUUGCACAAUGGGCGAAAGCCUGAUGCAGCGACGCCGCGUGAGGGAUGACGGCCUUCGGGUUGUAAACCUCUUUCAGCAGGGAAGAAGCGAAAGUGACGGUACCUGCAGAAGAAGCACCGGCUAACUACGUG
rnacentral:rRNA from 1 species